rnacentral:rRNA from 1 species
AUUGAACGCUGGCGGCAUGCUUUACACAUGCAAGUCGAACGGCAGCGCGGGCUUCGGCCUGGCGGCGAGUGGCGAACGGGUGAGUAAUACAUCGGAACGUGCCCAGUAGUGGGGGAUAGCUCGGCGAAAGCCGGAUUAAUACCGCAUACGACCUGAGGGUGGAAGCGGGGGAUCUUCGGACCUCGCGCUAUUGGAGCGGCCGAUGGCAGAUUAGCUAGUUGGUGGGGUAAAGGCCUACCAAGGCGACGAUCUGUAGCUGGUCUGAGAGGACGACCAGCCACACUGGGACUGAGACACGGCCCAGACUCCUACGGGAGGCAGCAGUGGGGAAUUUUGGACAAUGGGCGAAAGCCUGACCCAGCAAUGCCGCGUGUGUGAUGAAGGCCUUCGGGUUGUAAAGCACUUUUGGCGGGAACGAAAAGGACUGUGCCAAUACCACGGUUCGAUGACGGUACCCGCAGAAUAAGCACCGGCUAACUACGUG